UCCUUCCCUGGAAGGGGUGAUGUGUCAGCACACAGCCCGAGAUAAGGACUCUGACUGCGUUUACGUGUGAUUAAACAUGUUGAGUGCUCUGACCUUCUGCGGCACUG
rnacentral:snoRNA from 1 species